UACGUAGGGAGCAAGCGUUGUCCGGAUUUAUUGGGCGUAAAGAGCUCGUAGGCGGCUUAGAAAGUCAGGUGUGAAACCUCCAGGCUCAACCUGGAGACGCCACUUGAUACUUCUAUGGCUUGAGUUCGGUAGGGGACCACGGAAUUCCUGGUGUAGCGGUGAAAUGCGCAGAUAUCGGGAGGAACACCGGUGGCGAAGGCGGUUCUCUGGGCCUGUACUGACGCUGAGGAGCGAAAGCGUGGGGAGCGAACAGG
rnacentral:rRNA from 1 species